CCAGGCCUCCAGAGGGAAGGGCCCCGCGAGCCCGGCCCGCGCGCAUCCCCGUGCCCAGAGGUCAUACAGGACACGGAGCAGUGGCCCCACGCGUGACCGGGGUUGGGCCGAACCUCGGGCGUCGCCGCCAAGAUGGCGUCGCUGUGGGCAAAGCGCUCAGGCAGGCGAGGCCUCGGCCUCGCGUGGGAGUGCGUCUGUGUACUGCCUCGCUUCCCACAGGUUUCCGUGUAAAAGGGGUGAAAGCCACUGGUAAACUAUUCAGAGCUCCGCACAAAGGUGAGAGGUGGCUCCUGGAAAGCUCAAAUAUGGAACCCACUUGAGGACAUGGUGUCUCAAUAGUGGAACCGCAAACCAUUGGUCUAGGUGUCACAUCUAAUUUUUUUUAUCCGUGCGCCUGAGUGAGCAGAAGUACCUUGCUCCCGGUGACACACCUUGUUAGUUGACUAGAUGGUGUAGCACUUUACAUUUUGUGGGUACAUGUGACUACACUACAACGGAGCUUCCCAACUUGCUGAAGUCAAGCAAGCGAAGUCUUGUAGAAUUGGAAGGAUGGAAGGUAGUAGAUACCAUUUAUUAGGCAACCUACCCUGUGAUCCAUACCUUUUCGCACUUGUUUUUCCUCCUCCCAGCUAUCAGCAGGACAGGUAUUAUCCUUUUAUUCUAUUGUUUUUUCAGGUGAAUAAACAUGCUGAAAAGUUUGAACAGCCUGAAGGUCACCAGUUAGUAAGAAUGGAAGCAGGCAUUGGAACUCAUACUUCAGAGUCCCCAAAACAAAUUCUAAAACAUGAGAAAAUUGCACCCCUCCCCACUUCCUGUUUUUCAAAAGUGGGAAAGGUGAUCUGACAUCUUUUGGAAACUACAACGUUGAUGGGAGUCCAUCUACCAAACAGGAAGCAGGUUUUACAAUUUUGCUAGAAUUGAUGAUGUUCUCAAAGCACUUUUCAGUGUCAUUUAGAAAUCUUGAUUAGGAGGUAUUUUCAGUGGCAGACUUGUAAGACAGAAUUCAUUUUUCUCGGAAAAGAGUUUAAAUAAUUUAGAAAGAAUUGUAAUUCAAAAUAGUUUUCUCUUAAUUAUACCUCAUUUUCCAAGAGUAAUAAAAGUUUUAAGGAGAGAAAUUGAGGAGAGAAUUGAUGAUGCAUUCUUGUUAUAGUCGCUAAACAUUUCAGGGUUUUUUUUUUUCCUGUGCUGUGGGAUUUUUAAAAACAUUUAUGCAUCUUUUAUUUUGAAUUACUAUACACUAAAGAGAAAACACAGUACAAAGAAGAAAAAUCAAAGAUCAUCUGUCCAAACACCAAUUAAUACUUUGGUACAUAUUUUUCUAGUGUUCUUUUGCUUUGUAUAGAUUGUUUUUGGCAUUAGUCAUAUUUUUAAAACCAG